UACGUAGGGUGCAAGCGUUGUCCGGAAUUAUUGGGCGUAAAGAGCUCGUAGGCGGCUUGUCGCGUCGGCUGUGAAAACCUGGGGCUCAACCCCGGGCCUGCAGCCGAUACGGGCAAGCGUAGAAUUCGGUAGGGGAGACUGGAAGUUCCUGGUGUAGCGGUGAAAUGCGCAGAUAUCAGGAGGAACACCCGUGGCUAAGGCGGCUCUCUAGUACGGUACUGACGCUGAGACGCGAAAGCGUGGGGAGCGAACAGG
rnacentral:rRNA from 1 species